rnacentral:tRNA from 1 species
CACUAAGAAGCUAUGUUACAGCACUAGCCUUUUAAGCUAGAGAGAGAGGAUCUCACAACCCUCCUUAGUGA